rnacentral:lncRNA from 1 species
GAUCCUUCCAAAAUAUUUCAGGAACUGGGGCUUUCCAGCAGGAGUGAUGCAGGAGUACGGAAUCAGAUGCCCACAAAGUGCAGAGACAUGUUUCUGAGUGUUACCGGGAGCCAGCCAGGCAGAGCUGCAGUGUGGGAGCCCGGCCUCAGAACGGGACACCCCACCAUCGAUCAGGAGACUGGCUUCUGCCCAUCUGCUCUUUAAGCCUGUGUCUCAGAUGGUGUGAAAUAGGGAUCACCCUGAGAGAAAGCUGUCACUGCAAGAUUCCGGGAUACACUGCCUUCAUUUUUAUAAAUGCAUGCAAUUAGCUAUGACUUUUAAAUUGGCACCAUGGUGAACAAGCAUGUCUCAAGCAUACAUGCCAAGUAUUACAAGCCGUUUUUCAAUGGCUUCAACUUCCUCAGCUCCAAAACCUUGGAUCUCACUCCAACUCAGCAUCUACUAUUAUGUUCUGUGUCUCCAUUAUAUUAGAUUUGCAGGAGGUUAACGAGAAGCACAGCACAUAAUUCACAUGAAUAGGCUUUGAAACCUAAGUGUGAUGAAAAGUAUUAUUAUUACUGUUAUGCAAAGUCCUUGCAGCAAAAAUUACAUUAUCCUUUUUCCAAAUAUAUUGUGAACCUAUUGCUGCGCUAGAAUUCAGAUCUAGGCUUUCUUAAAACUCCAUUUGUGAUGCUUGCACUUACUUCAUAAACUUCCUUGGGUAUGAAAACACUUAAGUUUUCUUUUCUCCCCAAUGCCCCAGGCAGUUGACAGGUGGAUAAUGACAUCAACAGGCAGGUGGCCAUCAAAGACUCAGGGUAGGUGUGUUUUUGUGAGACCCCAGGUGGUUGAUUUCUGUAUGAUACCUCUCCAUAAAUGUGAAUUUCCUAUUCUUUAUUUCUUAAUCUUAAUAAAUCA